UGGGGAAUAUUGGACAAUGGGGGCAACCCUGAUCCAGCAAUGCCGCGUGUGUGAAGAAGGUCUUCGGAUUGUAAAGCACUUUCGACGGGGACAAUGAUGACGGUACCCGUAGAAGAAGCCCCGGCUAACUUCGUGCCAGCAGCCGCGGUAAUACGAAGGGGGCUAGCGUUGCUCGGAAUGACUGGGCGUAAAGGGCGUGUAGGCGGUUUACACAGUCAGAUGUGAAAUCCCCGGGCUUAACCUGGGAGCUGCAUUUGAUACGUGUAGACUAGAGUGUGAGAGAGGGUUGUGGAAUUCCCAGUGUAGAGGUGAAAUUCGUAGAUAUUGGGAAGAACACCGGUGGCGAAGGCGGCAACCUGGCUCAUGACUGACGCUGAGGCGCGAAAGCGUGGGGAGCAAACAGGAUUAGAUACCCUGGUAGUCCACGCUGUAAACGAUGUGUGCUAGAUGUUGGGUAACUUUGUUAUUCAGUGUCGCAGUUAACGCGUUAAGCACACCGCCUGGGGAGUACGGCCGCAAGGUUGAAA
rnacentral:rRNA from 1 species